rnacentral:rRNA from 1 species
GAUGAACGCUGGCGGCGUGCUUAACACAUGCAAGUCGAACGAAGCACCUUGAAUUCUUCGGAAUAAUAGGUGACUGAGUGGCGGACGGGUGAGUAACGCGUGGGUAACCUGCCUCAUACAGGGGGAUAACAGUUAGAAAUGACUGCUAAUACCGCAUAAGCGCACAGGACCGCAUGGUCUGGUGUGAAAAACUCCGGUGGUAUGAGAUGGACCCGCGUCUGAUUAGCUAGUUGGUGGGGUAACGGCCUACCAAGGCGACGAUCAGUAGCCGACCUGAGAGGGUGACCGGCCACAUUGGGACUGAGACACGGCCCAA